rnacentral:rRNA from 1 species
UAAACCUUAUCAUUUAGAGGAAGAGUGAAGUCGUAACAAGGUUUCCGUAGGUGAACCUGCGGAAGGAUCA